GCCCAGGUGGCGAAAUUGGUAGACGCACUACUUUGAGGUGGUAGCGCCCGAAAGGGUGUGCUGGUUCGAAUCCAGUCCUGGGCA
rnacentral:tRNA from 1 species